UGGGGAAUUUUGCACAAUGGGGGGAACCUUGAUGCAGCGACGCCGCGUGAGGGAUGGAGGCCUUCGGGUUGUGAACCUCUUUCGCUCGUGUGCAAGCCGCUAUUUGGGUAGUGGUGAGUGUAGCGGGUAAAGAAGCGCCGGCUAACUACGUACCAGCAGCCGCGGUAAUACGUAGGGCGCGAGCGUUGUCCGGAUUUAUUGGGCGUAAAGGGCUUGUAGGCGGUUUGUCGCGCCUGUCGUGUAAUCCUCUGGCUUAACUGGGGGUGUGCGGUGGGUACGGGCAAGCUUGAGUGCGGUAGGGGAGAUUGGAAUUCCUGGUGUAGCGGUGGAAUGCGCAGAUAUCAGGAGGAACACCGGUGGCGAAGGCGGGUCUCUGGGCCGUUACUGACGCUGAGGAGCGAAAGCGUGGGGAGCGAACAGG
rnacentral:rRNA from 1 species